ACACUAAUGUUUCUUUUCAUAUCGUAUAAAUGUUUUGCCUUUUACCAAAGAUUUCUGUGGAGAAGGACAUCAUGAGUAUAAUUUAAUUUUUUGAUGUUCUGGUUAAGUGUGGGGUU